ACGAACAGCCACCAUUCCUGGCUGCAAACAACAACCCCCCCCCCUCCUGCUUCACUGGCCCAGGGGGGUGUCCCCACACACGUCAGAGCCCUGGAUGCUGAUGGAGUCACAGUGGCUCCCGAUCACAUGUGGCAAAAGGGGAAAACUCACCAUCUGAGCAUCAUUUAAUGUGCUCUGGAAUAAGUCGCCGGAUCGCACGCCGAGCAGACCGUAAGCUGUGUCCGUAUGUAGCUCGUGUCCACCCUGAUCACUGGAGAAAGCUACAAUGCAGGUAUGUUGGGUACAGCACCUCCAGGUUCUAUGGGUAGCAUGACUGCCAUUUCUGCUAUUCCCUGCAUCGUCAAACGCAUAAACCGAAUACCAAACGUUGCAUGUAUGCCCUUGCAUGGGGCAGUUGCAUGCCAACAGCACCUUCUGUAGUCUUCUCAAAUAUGUCCUGUGUCCUCAAUUACAUCAAAAAGGAUCUCAACAGCGUGCUGAGGAAACCAUAGACAACUUGUGGGUGGGGUUUGUCAGGGGUGGCUUUGGCAUCAAUAAGUCUUUUCCACAAUGGGAGGAAGAUCAGGGGUCUUGAUUUGAGCCAGGGUCUUGAAGCUGUGAUGAGCUCAGUGGAGCUAAGCGUGUCUCGGUGAGCUUGAUGGGCUUAGAGAUCACACAAAAGGACACCAUUUCCAGCGUGAUGCUCACUGGCUUGGCCACAUGGGGCUUUGCAGAGCAGGCCCUUCUCAAAGGCUUUGCCAUGUUUCAGAGAACGCCUUUCAUGUGCGAGCGACGAAAGCGGUCACAGUCAGGGGAGCGGGACGGCUUUGCGUCCACCGAGCUUGAGAGGUCUAUCAAGCUCAACGGCAAAUGAAGGCACCGGAGGGACGUCCUGCAGAGACGUUCCAUAUGGCUCCUGAUGAAACCACCUGGAUCAUCAGAUUCCUUCAACACCUUCAAGAAACCCUACAAAACGCACCUGUUCCAGGAACACUUGGCUUACACCAUACCAUGUUCCUCAAAUGCUCUUAGUCUAUGUCUUCUGAUUUGAAUAGCAAUUGUUUAGAAGUUGUUCUGUAGCUCCUGCUCCGAUGCUUAUAUCUGGGCGUUCACUGGCGGCUCAGCCUAGCUGCACUUAUGCCUAGUUGACUCUUUGAUUGCCUUGGACAAAAGCAUCUACUGAAUAAAUAUAUAUAUCUAAUAAACUGAUCACAGCUUGGCUUUCAGCGCUUCCCAGGAAUUAGCUGUUCAGUCUCUCUCCAUUGCUGUCUCCCUUGGCAAACAGGGAAGUGAUUAGACACUGGCUGGAUAUGUAUCCAAUUAGGCCUUCUGUUGAAGUCCUGCUUGACGCCUUUUCCCCUCAACCUUCUCCAGCCCUUACGAACCACAGUGAGGAAGCUUCACCGACCUUUCCUCACAUCCUGUCCACCAAAGCCUUCUCAGAUACACAAGGUGGAGAAAACAGGACACUAAAAGUCUAAAGAGUCUAAUUGCAAAGCAACUUAUUUUUUUCUGAAUUAAGUCCAAAGGGUCAGAGAUGAAGAAUGUGCAAGAUUUCCUGUUCCGCGGCCCGUAACUCCCCAAACAUCUCCCAGUUUAUGUACUGCGGCGUGUUGCCGGGGCAACCUGGCAGCGAAUCAGGGCCCUGCACCAGAGAAUCACUGUUCCAGCAGAAAGACGCAAGAAAAGCCUUAAAGAGAAACACACCCAUUCUAACAAGAGCAGCACUGUGUCCAGGAUCACGCAGUUACAACCCAGGCGUCUGGAGACCCGGUCACAUGAAGAGCCAAGAAGGCAGAACAGGCUGGCCGAGACUGACCCCUCUCUCGUCCCGGUGCCAGUGGUCGCUCUGGGUGUGGGAACGCGCCCCACUGCACACAUUUGUUAGCAGGUCAACCCAAAACAUCACAGGAGACCUGAUAGAACGUGACUGAUUCGCCUGCCACCCAGCAAAAUAUCGAGCCGGAAGCUAGGGAUGGACAGUCGGGUAGUAACGUCACCAAAGGCAUGGCACAUGUGGAGAGACCUGAGGAGACUGAAGAAACCCCACCGCGUGUCUUUGGAAGCAGUUCAUCAGAACACUGAAAGCAGGCCUCCACAGACGUUUCUGCAGGAAGGUCACAAGCUGAACUCAGAAGCUCAGCCAAGAACAUGUUUGGGAGCCGACGUUCCGACACGAGCACAAGAAGAGAUGUGCCAGUGCUGAGGUAUUCCUCCGUCAGGAAUCAGUCAGAAGCAUCCGAUCCACA